GCCCCGCGCCUCGCACCUGAGGGAGCCGUGCGGCCGCCCUGCCUGCGCCGGCGGGGCAGCACCGGCCUCGCCAUAACAACAGACGUCGUGCCACAGAGUGUGUUUUGGGGUCCGGGCCGUGGAAGGAGCAGCAGCUUGCUUGCUUCCCUGGCAAAGUGGAAGUCAGAAGCCACCAGGCAGAGUGACCCUCUCACAGACCACUUAUCUUCACAGGAAACUGUUUCGGGAUUAGGUAAGCCAGAAAUCCCCACUUCCUUUUUUUAGAGAAAUUACAGUGUCCAUUAAUUAGAAUAUGCCUGUUUCAUUUUCUUCCACUGCCCUUGUU
rnacentral:lncRNA from 1 species